rnacentral:rRNA from 1 species
GAAUAUUGGACAAUGGGCGCAAGCCUGAUCCAGCCAUGCCGCGUGAGUGAUGAAGGCCUUAGGGUUGUAAAGCUCUUUCGCCAGGGACGAUAAUGACGGUACCUGGACAAGAAGCCCCGGCUAACUUCCUGCCAGCACCCGCGGUAAUACGAAGGGGGCUAGCGUUGUUCGGAAUCACUGGGCGUAAAGCGUAUGCAGGCGGAUCGUUAAGUCGGGGGUGAAAUCCCGAGGCUCAACCUCGGAACUGCCUUCGAUACUGGCGAUCUUCGAGUCCGGGAGAGGUGAGUGGAACUGCGAGUGUAGAGGUGAAAUUCGUAGAUAUUCGCAAGAACACCAGUGGCGAAGGCGGCUCACUGGCCCGGUACUGACGCUGAGAUACGAAAGCGUGGGGAGCAAACAGG